rnacentral:tRNA from 1 species
GCGCCCGUGGCUCAAUGGAUAGAGCAGGGGCUUCCUAAGCCCUUGGUUGGAAGUUCGACUCUUCCCGGGCGCACCA